ensembl:miRNA
CUCCCCUUAAGGACUUCAUAGAAUAUGAUAUUUAAAUAUGAAGUCCUUAAGGGGAGGGU